rnacentral:rRNA from 1 species
GACGGAGGGCGCAAGCGUUGUUCGGAAUUACUGGGCGUAAAGCGUGCGCAGGCGGUUUGCUAAGACAGGUGUGAAAUCCCCGGGCUUAACCUGGGAACUGCGCUUGUAACUGGCAAGCUAGAGUGUGGCAGAGGGGGGUGGAAUUCCAGGUGUAGCAGUGAAAUGCGUAGAGAUCUGGAGGAACACCGAUGGCGAAGGCAGCCCCCUGGGCUAACACUGACGCUCAUGCACGAAAGCGUGGGGAGCAAACAGG